CCGAACUCUGAAGUAGCCAGGUCAGUGUCGGCUCCGCGAGGGCUGGAGUUCACGGUGACAGCCGGCAGAGCAUCUGAUGCCACGUGGAGAGGCGAAGUACAUGGGUCGGAUUCCACGCUGGGAGCCGGCCUGGAUCUGCGCUUUAGGAAGCCACUGCGGGCGACCCUAUCUUGUCGCCAGGACUUCGCAUCUGAUGAGCCUCAGGGCACACAAGUUAGAGAGGCUUGUGCCGGCUGAUGUGGCUUUUCUUUUUCUUAGUUUCCGUUUAGUAAACGACCUUGUGACUUCUGGCUUGCUCAGGAAGACCAGAAAAAAAGGCAAUAGGUAACGAAUUUUUCUUUUUUUAAAGAAACAGAUUAUUGGCCGAGGAAAAACCAAUUUCGCUCUAAAGGAUAAGCAACAAAAUACUGAGGGGGGAAAAAGCCUACACAAAUGGAAACAUACGGCACAAAAUCAAGGAGCGACCAGUUCCGCAUGGUUACACUAAAAUGCACUGCACUCCCACUCUCUGGCUUGGCUGAAGAUAACCAGCAAGCUCUGAACAGUUUAAAAGCCUUCCAAGGACUGCAGCAGCACUGGACACACAAGAGAGUCGAGAACAGUAUUGGAUUUAUUGUUAGGGUUACAAUUUUCACGAUCUUUGCAUGCAAAACUUGCCACUCUGAGCCCAGUGAACUAUUUUUAUUUGGUUUACUUACUGGCUUUCUGGAUGACUAGGUAGAGCUUUAACUAAAGAACACUUCUGCUGUGGUCUGUGAUGAUGAAUUUUCCCGUAGUGUCAUUUCUAUAAUGGAAUAGGCAAACUGACCAUUUAGAAUGUGAUAUUCCUAAAUCACAUUCAAAUCAGUCUUAUCAGAGACUUCUAAUCAAUAAAAAUAAAGCACCAGAUGGCUAGAGGUAGUUUUUGACCUCAGCUUGGGCCUCAGCAAAGAUUUUUUGUGUUUUUUUUAACUACAUUAAAACAUCAGAGUUUAAGACACUUUUCUUUGAGCAUCAGAAAUACUCUCAGCUGAAUUUAGAGUUGAACUAUCCGGAAGAACCCUGGAGAAGGAGGGUGAUUUAUUUUCAACUUUCUGAUUUACCACCGACUUAAAUCAACCAAUGAGUUCUUUCUUUGACCAAAAAAAAAAAAAAAAAAAAAAAAAAAAAAAAAAAAAUUCAAGACUUGUGAUGUUUCUAUUUGUUUUGUUUUGUUUAGUUUGGUGUGUGCUUACUCAUUGUCCCAUUCUUUUGAUAACCUGUAUUUAUCUGCCACAAGUUAAACAAAAAUAAAUGAAAUAAGGAACACACCAAAAUCCUGCACUUAGGCCCUGUAUAGACAGUGUGUUCCAAACCUAAGGAGGUGUCUGCAACAGGGGAGGCUGCUGAGUGACUCUGCAGAGAACAGAUGACAUCUGUUAAAUGUCAAACACCAUCACGUCGUACUUCAAGUUGUACUUUACUUGGAACAUGGAAGCCAUCUGUCUGGAGCUCCCACAUCCAUUUCAAAUCUUCAGGGUUCCCCAUUCCAGGGGAGGAGCUGAACCUCCUGACACCGUCCACUUCCCUCCUGCCUCCUUCAAACAUCAUCCCUUUUUUCUCCCGAAUCCCUAAAUGUUUCUGCACCCAAGGGCUCUACCCCAAUAAACACAGCUAAGACUCUUUGAUUCUUAAAAUGUCUUCCUUUAACGUCCCACCCUCCAGAAUCUAUUGUCGUAUGUUUUGUUCACCAAAGGUAAUAAAAA
rnacentral:lncRNA from 1 species